AGAAUCAACGCUGGCGGCGUGCCUAACACAUGCAAGUCGAACGAGAAAGUGGAGCAAUCCAUGAGUAAAGUGGCGACCGGGUGAGUAACACGUGACUAACCUACCUUCGAGUGGGGGAUAACAUCGGGAAACCGAUGCUAAUACCGCAUAACAUCGCAAGAUCAAAGCAGCAAUGCGCUGGAAGAGGGGGUCGCGGCUGAUUAGCUAGUUGGCGGGGUAACGGCCCACCAAGGCGAAGAUCGGUAGCCGGCCUGAGAGGGCGCACGGCCACACUGGAGCUGAAACACGGUCCAGACUCCUACGGGAGGCAGCAGUGGGGAAUUUUGCGCAAUGGGGGAAACCCUGACGCAGCAACGCCGCGUGGAGGAUGAAGCCCCUUGGGGCGUAAACUCCUUUCGACCAAGACGAUAAUGACGGUACUGGUGGAAGAAGCACCGGCUAACUCUACGCCAGCAGCCGC
rnacentral:rRNA from 1 species